UGUCUGGCGGCGAUAGCGCGGUGGUCCCACCUGACCCCAUGCCGAACUCAGAAGUGAAACGCCGUAGCGCCGAUGGUAGUGUGGGGCUUCCCCAUGCGAGAGUAGGGAACUGCCAGACUUU
rnacentral:rRNA from 1 species